AGUGAACGCUGGCGGUAGGCCUAACACAUGCAAGUCGAACGGCAGCACAGUAAGAGCUUGCUCUUACGGGUGGCGAGUGGCGGACGGGUGAGGAAUACAUCGGAAUCUACUUUUUCGUGGGGGAUAACGUAGGGAAACUUACGCUAAUACCGCAUACGACCUACGGGUGAAAGCAGGGGAUCUUCGUACCUUGCGCGAUUGAAUGAGCCGAUGUCGGAUUAGCUAGUUGGCGGGGUAAAGGCCCACCAAGGCGACGAUCCGUAGCUGGUCUGAGAGGAUGAUCAGCCACACUGGAACUGAGACACGGUCAAGACUCCUACGGGAGGCAGCAGUGGGGAAUAUUGGACAAUGGGCGCAAGCCUGAUCAAGCCAUACCGCGUGGGUGAAGAAGGCCUUCGGGUUGUAAAGACCUUUUGUUGGGAAAGAAAAGCAGCAGGUUAAUACCCCGCUGUUCUGACGGUACCCAAAGAAUAAGCACCGGCUAACUUCGUG
rnacentral:rRNA from 1 species